UACUUUUCUUGUGAAUUUUGUACCUACCUUGGUGUUAUUUGACUCAGGUGCGAGUCGGUCUUUUGUAUCUUUGGCUUUUAGUCAGCAUAUCAGUGUUAGUCGUGAGGCGUUGAGUCGGCCUCUGAGAGUUUCCAUAGCUGACGAGAGGGUGAUAUAUGCCACGGAGGUUCUCAAAGGGUGCGUAGUCGAGAUUUUUGGUGUUGAGUUCCUGAUUGAUUUGGUUCCUAUUGCGAUGGGUGAUGUCUGUGUCAUUAUGGGCAUGGAUUGGUUGAGCAGAUUCGGUGCGGUUAUCGACUGCGAGCGACAGUUGGUGACCAUACGAGACCCUAGUGGGGGAGUUCUUGCGGUGUACGGCGAGGGUACACGUUCUGGAUCAGCGUUUUGUUCGGCCGCUAGGACGAGGCAGUGUCUACAGUAGGGUUGUAAGGGUUUUGUGGCGUAUGUGAUGGAUAUGCGGGUGGAUUCCGAGAGACCGAGGUCAGUUGAGGAGGUUCCGGUAGUGCGUGAGUUCCCGGAUGUAUUUCCUGAGGAGUUGCCGGGUGUGCCUCCUGUGAGGCAAGUGGAGUUCAAUAUCGAUUUGGUGCCGGGGGCCGCACCUAUCGCUAAGAUGCCUUAUCGCCUUGCACCUCCAUAGAUGCAAGAGUUAUCCUCGCAGCUUCAGGAGCUGCUGGGGAAGGGGUUUAUUCGGCCGAGCAGCUCGCCGUGAGGAGCGCCUAUCCUGUUUGUCAAGAAGAAGGAUGGUUCACACCGGAUGUGCAUUGAUUACCGGGAGUUGAACAAGCUGACGGUCAAGAACCGUUACCCGUUGCCGAGGAUCGACGAUUUGUUCGAUCAGUUGCAGGGAGCAUCUUGGUUCUCCAAGAUCGAUUUGAGGUCUGGAUAUCAUCAGGUGAGGGUGCGAGAUGAGGACGUCCAGAAGACGGCGUUCAGGACGCGUUAUAGGCAUUACAAGUUUGUGGUGAUGCCUUUCAGGCUCACCAAUGCCCCGGCAGUGUUCAUGGAUCUCAUGAACCGAGUGUGCAGGCCGAUGCUGGAUCGGCCAGUGAUCAUAUUUAUCAACGACAUUUUGGUAUAUUCGAGAUCUAGAGAGCAGCAUGAGGAGCAUUUGAGGGAGAUCCUCGGAGUUCUGAGAUCGGAGAGGCUUUAUGCCAAAUUCUCCAAGUGUGAUUUCUGGUUGCGAGAGGUCCAGUUCCUAGGGCAUCUCGUUAACCAGAAAGGGAUAUUGGUCGACCCGGCCAAAGUUGAGGCAGUGAUGAGUUGGGAGGUGCCGAGGUCACCCUCCGAGAUCAGGAGUUUCUUAGGGUUGGCAGGUUAUUUUCUGAGAUUUAUCAAGGAUUUCUCUAAGAUCGCAGCGCCACUCACUAGGUUGACCCGGAAGGGUGUCGCUUUUUUAUGGGGCCCCGAGCAGCAGGCCUCCUUUGAGACGCUUCGUCAAAGGUUAUGCGAAGCCCCGGUGUUAGCCCUCCCGGAGGGGAUGGAGGACUUUGUGGUAUACUGUGAUGCAUCGAUCUUGGGGUUGGGAGCGGUGCUGAUGCAGAGAGGGCAUGUGAUAGCAUACGCAUCGAGGCAGCUGAAGCCUCAUGAGACGAGGUAUCCCACCCAUGAUCUAGAGUUGGGGGCAGUGGUGUUCGCCCUCAAAAUUUGGCGUCACUAUCUGUAUGGGGUUCGGUGUACGAUAUACACGGACCAUAAGAGCCUGAAGUAUUUGAUGGAUCAGCCUAACCUAAAUAUGCGGCAGAGGAGGUGGUUGGAUGUGGUCAAGGAUUAUGAUUGUGAGAUCCUGUACCAUCCGGGCAAGGCUAAUGUGGUAGCCGACGCCCUGAGUCGCAGGGCGGAGAGCGCCCCAUUGCGAGGUGUAUGUUUGCGAUUGACCGUGAUGGCUCCGGUGUUGGACACCAUUCGUGGAGCACAGGCUGAGGCCGUGAGAUCGGAGAACCAGAAGAGAGAGCGAGUUGUUGGGUUGGUAUCGGAGUUCGUUACCGAUGGUCGGGGGCUUAUGACAUUUCAGGGGCGUAUAUGGGUACCGUUUGUGGGAGGGACGCGUACCAUUUUGAUGGAAGAGGCUCAUCGGUCGAAAUUCUCGAUCCAUCCUGGGGCCACUAAGAUGUAUUUGGACCUGAGGAGAGAGUAUUGGUGGCCCUGUAUGAAGAGGGAUGUUGCGUGGUUUGUUGAGAGGUGCUUAACCUGCCGUAGGGUUAAGGCCGAGCACCAGAGACCGCAUGGUAAGUUGCAGCCGUUGGAGGUUCCCGAAUGGAAGUGGGAACAGAUUACCAUGGAUUUUAUCACCAAAUUGCCAAGGACUGCUAGGGGAGUCGAUGCAAUUUGGGUGAUUGUGGACAGGUUGACAAAGAGCGCCCACUUCCUUGCUAUCAGUGAGAGCUCUUCCGCAGAGAAGUUAGCAGAGAUGUACGUGAGGGAAGUGGUAUCUCGGCAUGGAGUGCCGAUCUCGAUUGUCUCAGACCGAGAUGUGCGUUUCACUUCCAGAUUCUGGAAGAAGUUUCAUGAGGAGUUGGGUACUAGGCUGCAUUUUAGUACCGCAUAUCACCCCCAGACAGACGGACAGAGUGAGCGGACGAUUCAGACGCUCGAGGACAUGCUCCGGGCAUGUGUGUUGGAUUUCGGGGGGAGUUGGGAUACGUACUUGCCCUUGGCAGAGUUUUCCUACAACAACAGCCAUCAUUCGAGCAUUGGUAUGCCGCCCUUUGAGUUGUUGUAUGGGAGGAGGUGUCGGACCCCCAUUUGUUGGGGAGAGGUUGGACAGCGUGUGAUGGACAGUACGGAGAUCGUGCUUCAGAAGACAGAGCAGAUCCAGCAGGUCAGGCAGAGGUUGUUGACCGCUCAGAGUCGUCAGAAGAGCUGUGCAGACAGACGCCGAUCCGAGCUUGAGUUUCAGGUCGGCGACCUUGUACUCCUGAAGGUCUCUCCUUGGAAAGGAGUGAUUCGAUUCAGGAAGAGGGGCAAGUUGGGGCCCCGAUAUAUUGGUCCAUUCCAAGUGAUCGCGAGGGUAGGCCGGGUAGCCUAUCGUUUCGAUUUUCCAGCAGAGUUGGGGCAGAUUCACGACACUUUCCAUGUGUCGCAAUUGUGGAAGUGUAUAGCUGAUGAGUCGGCAGUGGUUCCAUUGGAGGAUAUUCAGAUGCAUGCGAGCCUGAAUUAUGUAGAGAGACCAGUGGCAAUCAGGGAUCGGAAAAUCAAGGUUCUGAGGAACAAGGAGGUACCCUUAGUUUUGGUUCAGUGGCAGCAUCGGAAGGGGUCCCAGAUGACUUGGGAGCCGAAGCGUGAGAUGCGCGAGCAGCAUCCGGAGUUAUUUGCAGAGCGAGACUUCGAGGACGAAGUCUAGUUCUAGUGAGCGACAGUUGUAAUAGCCCAGAUUCCCAGGUAUUAUUCAUUCUUAUAUUUUUGUAUUUUGUGAGGAUACUCGGCGAGUUAGAGCUUAGACUCGCCGAGUAGGAUCGCGGUUUGGACGCGGGUUCACGCCUGGACUCGGCGAGUCCAAGGAGUGGACUCGGCAAGUCCACACUGUUUAAUGAAACCCUAAAUCCCCGGGUAUGGAGCCUAUUUAAUGGCACUUAUAGCCUCCCCAUUGUGGCUACCAGUCCCUUGAGAGAACCAUAAGAGAGCUAAUUCGUUUUGGGAGAGAAGAAGUCACUUUUGGGCCUUUGUAUUUCUUGUUUAGCAAGAAAAAGGUGGCAAGAACAAGGAGAAGGUGAGAUUCUAGCAGAUCCAGAAUCCAGAGGCUUCAUUUUGAGGUAAUGAUUCGAAUCUCCUUCAGUUUUAGGGUUGAUCUUUAGAGUUAGGGUUUUAUAAUCCCUAUGAAGAGUGAUUAUGUGAAGCAAAUGGUCCCUCUUCGAGUUUGUGCCUUGGAAAUGAACUCGCCGAGUUGUUCUUGAGACUCGGCGAGUAGGUUUGGAGUUUCACGUAAAGUGUUCAGCGAGUGGACUCGUCGGGUUGGGGGUUGACCCAGUGAGUCGGGGAGAGUCAUUAGGGGGCUGAGUCAAGCCUGAACUCGCCGAGUUGUUCUUGAGUCGUGGUGGCCCUGCGAUUCAUGCCAGGUGGAACUCGUCGAGUCAGGGAAGCACUCGACGUGUCAAGGGAGGAUUCUAGGGAGUCAGUGAACACGUAUAGACUCGCCGAGUCGCUCUAGUGCACUCGCCGAGUCCGGUCAAAGUUGACCGUUGACCGUUGACCAGAGUUGAGCAGUGUUGACUUGAUAGGGGUAGUCAACCUUAGUUGUGAAAGUGUUAAUUAGAGAUAAAUUGUGUUAUAGGAGGAUUAUAGCUCAGAGGAUCGAGCGCGAGUUAUUUCCGGGAUUUACAAGUUAUCGAGAUACGCAAGGUGAGUCUUCUGACUAUACUUUACCUUGAGUAGGUAAUCAGAGUUAUGUGACAGAGUAUUUGUAUGUUAUAUGUAUGUUAUGUGUUGUACUGCAUUAUUUCUAUGUGAUUUAUGCUGUGCAUGUUUAUAGAGUUGGAACCGGAAGGUUCCCAGAGUUAGAACUAGAGGGUUCACAGAGUGGGGUCUACGGACCCACAGAGUUAUAGUAUCGAGUGGCUAAUAUGUUAUGCGUGGUAUUUUGGGGAACUCAGUAAGCUUUAUGCUUACAGUGUUGGUGUUAUUUGUUUCAGGUACUAGUGAUGACCGUGGAAAGGCGCCGGCUUGAUUAGUACACACACAUGGGAUUCUUAUGAUAUGUGAUCUUGGGAUUCUUUGUAUGACGUGGAUUGGAGUUUUAAACAUUGAUGUUUUAUGAAAAUUAAAUGAAUAUGUUUUUAUAUUAUGCGAAAAAUUAUUUUGAAAUUUACAGUGUUACAAGUUGGUAUCAGAGCCUUGGUUUGAGGGAUUCGAGUACACCUUCGGGCGUAUUUGAACUCAAACUUAGGAUUUGAGAAGUAUUUUCAAAAAGGGUGACAGACUUUUGGAAGUACACAGAGCAGAGUUGUGUGUACGAUCAGUCCGCGCCCAAACGGUGGUUUCCAAAAAUACCCUCAGUUUAUGUGAUAAUGAUAUUGAUAUGAUGUAUUCUCAUGCUAGAGUAGGCUAUGUACUCCUAUUAGGAGAAUGUAGUGUUUAAAAAGGGGGAGAAUGUAGAUGUAAAAUUGUAAAAGUCGAAUAUAGUGUUUUGUAUAGUUUCGCAUUUUAUGUUAGUUUACUAAGUCAUCUUUAUGCGAAGUGUAUUGUCUAGACUUAGUAUAUUUUUUGUACACUCAUGUUCGCUAUAAAUAGGUACUGAGGUUAGUAGUAGAAGAGAGACUUGUCGUAACAAACAUAUCUUUUCUGCUUAUUCUGUAAUCAGUCUUUAUCAAUAUGAGAUCUGAUUAAUAUUUACUCUUUGUGUUCUAAAUCUUCAAUUACUGAAAUCAAACUUUGUUUUCUCAAAUCACGAUAACAUUUCUCUUCAAUUGGUAUCAGAGCAGGAUUCAAACUGCUUCGAUCUGAUUUUCGUGUUAGAAUCAUUUGCUUUUUGAGUUGCAACUUACUCAAAAUAUUCCGCGCAUUUUGGUUUUGAAAAUCACAUUUGAUCUUUAGAUUUGAAUUGAUUAUGUCUUUGAAUUGUUAAGUCGAGUAAUCGAUUAGUGAUUUGUGAUCAAUUCAAUUGAUCAAAUUCUCAAUUUCAUCAAGUUUUUCAAGCUUUCUGAAAAUUUCUGUGUUCAUCAAUGGCGAACUUCAACAUGAAUACAAUGACUUCCUUCUCUCACUUGCGUGGUUCUUCAACCAAAAUUCCGAUGUUAAUUCCAGAAUACUAUGAUCAGUGGGCUGAUAGAAUGGAAAAUUACUUAAAUGGAAUUGAUGAAGAACUUUGGAAUUGUAUCGAUGGAACAGUGCAAGCUCAUGUUAAUGUUCAACCAAUUGGUCCAUCUACUACAUCUACUGAAGUUGCUGAUCAAGAAAAACCGUUGAAGAAUAAUGAAAAGAGGUGCAUGAGGGAACUAAGAGGUGCUCUACCUCUUGUGGUUUACAAUUACAUCCGUAGUUGUAAAACAGCCAAGGAGAUCUGGAACACUCUAAAAGAAAAGUAUCAAGGUAGCGAAAAGACGAAGAUCAACUCUUUGAAGCAAUGUCUAGUUGAACUGAAGGAAUUCAGACAAAAGGAUGCAGAAACUCUUGAAAAUUACUAUGAUCGUCUGAAUGACCUUAUGUUUCGCUGCAAUAGGUAUGGAAUCACUAGGUCUCUCAUGAAGUUCAAUUUAACUUUCAUUAUGGGUCUUCGCAAGGAAUGGCGAAAUGUGAGCAUGAUGAUUAAGAAAUAACAGAGUUUUGAUACAACUAAAUUGAAUGAUCUCUACAAUCAAUUGAAAACACAUGAAUGUGAAGUUUUAGAAAUGUAUGAAGAAUCAAAACAAAGUAUUGGAGGUCCUUUGGCUCUUGUUUCAAAGGUAUCAGAAACUGAUGUUAAUGAAAAAGAUGGUUCAGAUGAUGAAGGAUUUUUGAUGAACUCUGAUGAUGAAGCUGUGGCAUUCUAUUCAAACAACAGAGUUAAGAAGUUUUUCAAAAAGCCUUUUAAUCCAAAAGGAAAGGCUAGUGAUGUGAAGAAUGCAGUCACAAGAACUGGAGGGGAGGAGAGGAAGAAAUUGGAGAAAGCUGAUGAGAAACAAAAAGAUGCAAAAGAAGUGAAGAAGCUGAAAGGUGAUUCAGGAAUUUACUGUCACUACUGCAAUGGUGCGAAUCAUUUUGCAGUUGAUUGCAUAUUGCGAAAGAAAGAAGAGAACAAGGAAAAAGUUAAAGAUGAAGCAUACUACUCUGAAAAGAUUGAAGAGAUACGUGCUAAGACCAAAGGAGUGUCUUUGGUUGCGAAAGGUGAAACUGACAAUGAAGAAAGUGGUACGUAUCAGAUCUGGUCUUCAGGAUCUGAUGACGAGGAAAUGAGGCAUCCCACACAUGGAGCAAUGUUCGCAAGUUUUGAAGAUUGCGAAGAGGAAAUUUCAGGAAGGUGCUUCGUAUCCAAAUCCACAGACAAAUCACCCAUGACAACCAAGGUACGUGCAAUACUUGAAUCUUUUAAUAUUCCUUUAUCUGCUUAUGAUGCUGAAAUUGUUUCAUUUGAUGAAACUGUGGCUUAUUUUGAUUCUGUUAUUGUGUCUGCUAGUACUGAAGCUCAAAAAUUAAGUAUGCAACUAGGUGAGACACGGAGAGAAUUAGAAAUAAAGAGGAGCAGAGUAGAAAAACUUGAAAUGCAGAUCAAAAAUAUAGAUUGUGAUAGGAAUAAUCUUACAAAUGAUGUUAGGUUGUUGCUAGCACAAAGGAACAUAUAUUGUAAUUCUGCCAAACGGCUAUAUGCAAAAUUAACUGCUUUACAUCAUUCUUCUGACAUUAGCAAAGAACAACAUAGGAAACUGUUACCUUUUCUUGAAUAUGAACGUGAAAAAGUUGAUGUUGUUUCUUAUGAUUGUGAAAGUACAAUUGCUCAAUUUGACAAAAUACCUGAUGAUAGAUAUACAUAUGGUAUUGUCAAAAUUGAUGAAUUUCUGAAUGCUGAUGAGUUAGUUAACAUUGUCAAUGAAAGUUUAACAAAGAGUGAACAAGUGAAAAUCUUAAAGAAAACAGAAAUUUCAACUCUUGCCUCUCAACUCAAUUAUGCUGAUAUUGAUGAAAAUUCAAAUAAUGUGAGUGAAAUCGGUGAGAUAGAAGAGGAAGAAGAGGUAGAUUGUUCUCAAUUGUCAAUAGUUAAUAUCACAUCUAAGAUUAAAGGUAAAGAAAUUAUUGUUGAUUCGAUAGUAGAGGAUGAAAUUGAUAAACCUUUAACUUCACAACAUUGUAAGUUUGAUAAUGUGGAAGUUGAAAGCAGGAAAUCUGAUGAUAACGAAGAAAACGGAGAAGAAAGGAAAGAUUCAAAUGAAACACCUCAAAGAGUUGUGGUUGAUCAAGUGUUUGAAAAUACAAAAGAAUUUGACAAAAUUUUAAAUGACAAAGGCGCACAUUAUUUGGAAACCAACACAGUGGUAUAUCAAAAUUUUGUAUGUACUGAUAAAACCAUUUUUCCAAAUCAAGUUUUUGUCACUACUGGAAAUGCUGAGAAAGUUUAUCCUGAAUUCAACAAAAUGAUUGAAAAAGAUAAUCUAAAGUUAACCACAGAUGGUUUUUUCGCAAAUCAAAACACAGAAGAAAACAAUUUAACUCAAAAUUCUUAUGUGUUUCAAAAACAAAAAUCAUUACAAAAAUGGGUGGUUAAAGGUGAAAAACCUAACAAAAUUUUUGAAAAAGUUGAAAAAUUAAAGGCUUAAGUGAAAUUAAAUUCUCAUGAAUUCAAAUUGAUUGUUGGAAAUUAUUCAACAGAAAAUAAUGUUUCAAAAAGAAAAGCAAGAAAAGUAGUUUUCUGGCAAGUUGUGUCAAAUGACAAACCAAGAGAUGAAAAAGAACAAAUUUCAAAAACAAAAUCAUCUAAAUUUCAGAGCAAUAAUAAACAAACAAAUUUUGUUGAUAAAAGUCCAUAUGUUCGCAAAUAUGACAACAAUCGAAAAUUUGAGAAUUCGCAAAAAUUUGCAAAUAAUCAAAAGUUUCAAAAUGUUGGCAAAUUCACGAAAACUUCAUCAAGUUUGACAGAUUCAACUCAAGCAAAAAUAAAAUUUUCACCAAAACUACCAAAUUUUCCAAAUCCUUCAGUUUCAAAACAGACCAAAGUUUCAUAUACAAAAGGAAAAUCUGAUGUAAGUACAAUCAAUCGAUGGUUUGAAGGGAAAGGAAGAAAAUAUCAAAGUGGGAAGUUUUCAGAGCAACAAAUCAAGAAUGCAUUUGACAAGUUCGCAAAUAACUCUUCCACUGCUAGUUCAUCAUCUCAUCAUUCGCAAGUUCCAGUUCAAAAAUGGAAACCAGUUAUCAAAAAUGUGAAUGUUGUGAAGGAUAAGAUUACAAUCAAUGGAAAUCCAAAACUAUUGAAUGACUAUAUAUCAAUAUCUAGAUCUGAUAAUGUUGAUAUAAUGGAUUCUGUCACAAACAAAGUGAAAACAUGGUUUGUAAAUUCCAUGAAUUUGUUUCAUUCUACUAAUGAUGGACCCAACAAGUCUUGGGUUCCUAAAUUCUUUCAAUAAAUGCAGGUGAUGUGUGACGAGCAAUAUGAUUCUAAAUGGNCUAUAAUAGUGGUUGCUCUCGUCACAUGAAUGGAAGAAAGGAAAACUGCGAGAUUAUAGAAGUUUGGAAAAUGCAGGAGUAGUCAAAUUUGGGAAUAAUCACAAGUGUCAAGUGAAAGGCUAUGGGAAAGUCACAAAUGGAAAAUUCACUGUGAACAGAGUUGCUUAUGUUGAAGGACUUCAACACAAUUUGAUAAGCGUGUCACAACUUGUUGUUGGUACUGGAAAUAAAGUUGUAUUUAAUGAAGAUGGUAGUAUAAUUUCAAAUGCGAAGUCAAAUGAAAUACUUCUCAAAUCCAACAGAUAUGGUGAUAUGUUUACACUGGACAUCAACCUAAUUGUGGGAAAACCUGCUGUGUGUUUACUAUCAAAAGCAUCUAAUGAUCUCAGCUGGCUUUGGCAUAGAAGAUUGUCACACUUGAACUUUCGAAAUAUUAAUAAACUUGUCACUGAAGAUUUAGUUCGAGGGUUACCAGUACUAAAAUUUGACAAUGAUUCUUUGUGUGCAGCUUGCGAACAAGGAAAACAACAUCGAAAAGGUCAUCCGAUUGUGAUAGAUUCAAAAAUCGUAGAACCAUUGGAACUUCUUCACAUUGACUUAUGUGGAUCGUCAACUGUUGCUACAAUCAAUAAAAAAACGGUAUAUUUUAGUUGUUGUAGAUGAUUUCUCUCGAUUCACAUGGGUGUUUUUUCUCAGGUUGAAAUCUGAAGUUGCUCAGACGAUGAUUAAUUUUAUCAAAAAGAUUGAACUUAGUCUGAAGAAGAAUGUACGAAAAAUUAAAAGUGAUAAUGGUUCUGAGUUUAAAAAUCAAACUCUUGAUAUUUUUCUCACAAGCAAAGGCAUUUCGCAUAAUUUCUCAUCACCAUAUACUCCACAACAAAAUGGUGUUGUUGAAAGAAGAAAUCAAUCUUUAUGCGAAGCAGCCAGAACCACGUUAACAUAUGCGAAUCUACCUCAAUAUCUUUGAGCAGAAGCAGUGUCCACUGCAUGUUUUACUCAGAAUCGAUCAUUCAUUUAUCGAAGAUUCAAUGUUACUCCAUAUGAAAUAAUCAAUAAUCGAAAACCUAAUGUAAAAUUCUUUCAUGUUUUUGGUUGCAGGUGCUUGAUCAUGAAUCUCAAAGAUAAUUUGUCCAAGUUCCAAGCUAAAGCUGAUGAAGGCAUAUUCUUAGGAUAUUCACAGAAUUCAGUUGCAUACAGAGUGCUUAAUAAAAGAACAAGAAAAGUUGAAGAAACUUUCAAUUUAACGUUUGAUGAUUACUAUCUUAAACAAAUAGAUAGUAAAUUUGAAAAUAAAUCAAUACUUGUGGAUUCAAAUACUCAAAUUGAUAAUUCUGAAAUCAAUGAUUUUGAUUAUGACUUAAUUUUUGGAAUUCCUGACAGGGCAAUUGAAGCAGAAAAUAAUGCUCCUGAUAAUCAAACAUCAGAAUCCUCAAAACAUACUGAUGAUUCGACAAUAACUACAACGUCAAUAACUUGUGAAAGUACGCAUGAUAUUCGUAUGGAGGAGGAGCAUACGAGUAUUCAUGAAGAUAGUCAGCCAACUUUCGAGGGGGAGAAUGAAAUUAUGAAUCAUCAAGUUGAGGGGGAGCAUUCGCAGAAUCAACAGGAACAUCAUUUUGAGGGGGAGCAUCAAGAUGAAGAUCAUGUUGAGGGGGAGCAUGAUGAAACAGAGACAAUUAAUCUUGAUGAAAAUGAUGAGUUUCAUGAACUAAAUGAUAACUUUUCUGUUGCAGGAUCUGAAAAUGAAGAUAUGUAUGAAGAUGCACCAUUAGAAUUUGAUCCUAAUUUUCCACCACUUGAGAAAUGGACAAGAAAUCAUCCAAAAGAACAGGUAAUUGGUAAUCCACAAGAUGGUGUGUUGACAAGAGCUCAAAUUCGUGCGAAAAAUGAGGUACUGAAUGCGAACCAAGAACUAUGUAUGUUUAAUGUCUUUAUUUCGAAAAUAGAGCCAAAGACAGUAAAGGAUGCUAUGGAACACUCAGAUUGGGUUGUUGCUAUGCAAUCUGAACUGGCUGAAUUUGAACGAAACAAGGUUUGGAGAUUAGUUUCUAAACCUUCUGAUGUUUCAAUUGUCGGAUUAAAAUGGAUUUUUAAAAACAAAACCGACAAAGAUGGCAAUAUUAUUCGAAAUAAAGCUAGACUAGUGGUUAAAGGUUAUUCGCAACAAGAAGGGAUAGACUAUGAAGAAACAUUUGCACCUGUUGCAAGACUUGAAGCAGUUCGCAUAUUUUUAGCCUAUGCAGCUCACAAAGACUUUGAUGUUUAUCAAAUGGAUGUUAAAUGUGCAUUCUUAAAUGGUGAACUAGAAGAAACAGUGUAUGUUGAACAACCACCAGGAUUUAUAAGCAAUGAACAUCCUAAUCAUGUUUACAUCCUAGAUAGGGCUGUAUAUGGAUUAAAACAAGCACCAAGAGCCUGAUACGCAACACUUACAAAUUUCUUGAAACAAUCUAAAUUUAAACAAGAAUCAGUUGACCCCACAUUAUUUCGCAUGAAUGUUGGGUGUCAUCUAAUGCUUGUUCAAAUUUAUGUUGAUGAUAUUAUCUUUGGCUCAACUGAUCCAGCAUUGUCAAUUGAAUUUGAAAAUCUAAUGAAAAGUCAGUUUGAAAUGAGCAUGAUGGGAAAAAUUAAUAANACUUAGCUUAAACAUAAGACAGAACAGUGAUGGAAUCUUAAUAAAUCAAGAAAAAUAUACGAAGAACUUGCUUGAAAAGUUUGGAAUGACUAAUAGCACGAAACUCAGAGUACCAAUGGCAGUAGGAACAAGACUAACUCCUUCGUUAGAUGCUCCUGCUGUUGAUUUAACACUUUAUCGAAGCAUGAUAGGGUCUUUAUUGUACUUAACUGCAAGUAGACCUGAUAUUAUGUUUUCGGUUUGCAAUUGUGCUAGAUAUCAAGCUAAUCCCAGAGAACCUCAUUUGACUGCAGUGAAAAAUAUUUUUCGCUAUCUUAAGGGAACAGUUUCUUUAGGACUUUGGUAUCCUACGAAAACGGGGUUUUUCAUUCAAGCUUUUUCAGAUUCUGAUCUAGGAGGAUGUACUUUGGAUAGGAAAAGUACGAGUGGUGGAAGUCAACUAUUGGAUGGGAAGUUGGUGAAUUGGCAAUCAAAGAAACAAACUUGUGUGGCUAUAUCAACUGCUGAGGCAGAAUACAUUGCUGCUGCUGCUUGCACUUCGCAAAUUAUUUGGAUUCAGAGUCAACUUCGUGACUAUGCAAUAAACAUGAAAAAGAUUCCUUUGUAUUGUGAUUCGCAAAGUGCAAUUCGCAUUUGUCAUAAUCCAGUACAACAUUCAAAGACAAAACACAUUGCUCUUCGAUAUCAUUUUAUCAAAGAUCAUGUGGAAGAUGGGAAUAUUGAAAUUCAUUUUGUUAAAACAACUGAACAACUUGCUGAUAUUUUUACAAAACCUCUUGAUGAAAAAUCAUUUGUUAGAAUUUUAGCAGGUUUGGGGAUGAUUAAUGCGAAUUCAAUUUCAAAAACUCAUGCCUAAAAGUCUUGUUCAGCAGUUAUGAGUCAAAUUUGUUCAGAGGUUACUGUUCAUUCAGAGGCUUCGCAUGGCUUCGCAUCCACAUCUUUUCGCAUCUGAGAUCAUAACAACUAAGGUAAGGUUUACGACUAAUUUUGAUUUUUUUUUUUAACUUUUGAAAAAUCAAAAAUCCAAAAAGAUUUUAUUUUGUUAUGUUCUUAAUUUUGAAAAAUUAAAAAUCCAAAAAGAUUUUAUUUUGUUAUGUUUUUAAUUUUGAAAAAUUAAAAAUCCAAAAAGAUUUUAUUUUGUUAUGUUUUUAAUUUUGAAAAAUUCAAAAAUCACAAAAAUAUUUUUGUUUUCUUUGUUCUUUAAACUUUGUGUGCUGAGAAUUUAAUACAGGGCUAAAAUGCGAAGAAGUCAUACUUAUGUGUUUCUACGGGAAGGUAUUAAUUUUCUUUUAAAAACUAGUUAGGAUGUCCCUAGAAGCAUGCUGCUGUAUGUAGACCAAAAGCCUCAACAAGACUCUAUGUGUGAAAAGAAAGCCUUAAUGAAAUUAUCACAUGAAAAUUUCUUCCCAAAAAGGCUUAUAUUCGCAUAAGUCAACAGAGCUACCUUACUCUUCUCAAAUGAGUUAAGAGUUUUCUGUUUUGUCCAUUAUAACAGAGGUAUACUUCGAUUCUUAUCCAAUCUUUUUAUACCAAACAAUUCUUACACUCCAAAUUUUUGAAGAGAUUUGUCCUUGAGGUCUUUGAUCAAACCAAUCAAAACCUAGACAAAUCACAAGUCUGUGUUUAUGAUCUAACAUCAUGAGUCCGUGAUGGAAGUGAAACCCAAAAAUCAUAAACCUUAAGGAAUUGACGGGGAACUUUGUUCCAGAUUUUUACGAAACCUUUGUUUCAGUAUCAAAAAUUUCGAAACUUCAAAUCAUAUUCAAUUCGCAUGUGUGGUCUUGAUCAAAUAUUCACAACCAACAAUGUUUGUUACCCAACAAGAUCCAGAACAAAUUUUUUUUUGAAUAUGAUUUCUGUGUAAGUUUUAUUCGCAAAUCCUAGUCAUGAUAAAUAUUUUCACAAGCCAACUUGUCACUGACUACACUGGUCAAACAAGUAAUUUCAUUUACAAUUUCUCACCUUAUGUUAAGGCUGAUAUGUAAUGAAAUUUAAAACCAAUCCAAAAUGUCUUUUAAAAGAAGCCCUUCGAUACUUCUCUACAAGUAUUCGAUUGUAAUUCACGGGAAACUACACAAGCUGUUGAUUAUCUCUCUUGAUGAUUAACGAAGCAACCUUUGCCUGGGGUUUAACUGCAUUCAUGUCAAAUUAAAUUUUUGACAUCACAAAAUUCCAAAUUUUUUGUUUCUCAUCUUAUUCUGUUGACACAAUGCACACACGAAAUCCUUGAGGUUCUGAGUAAAACCAACUCAGACUGAUGAUUUCGCAAAUCUGGCAUAUGACUUCACUUUAUAUCCCAAAAGUGAAAGAGCCUUGACUCCAUGCGAAGGGUUUUAACGGUUCAGAUUCUAUAACGGGAAACUUGACAGGCUGUGUACUCAAGAUGGUUGGUAUUCUAUCCGGUUUUCAAGGAGAUGUGACAGUUACUUUUUGAAGCAUGGUUAUCUUUUGCAGUCAUGAUCCGAUUUUCAAGGUGCCACAUCGGAUAACAUUAAAUGCAUCCCGCUUUAAUUUCAAAUCAAUUUGAGUAACCUAUAAAAGGGGGAUCAAGAACACUAUAUACGGUUACGCAAACAGAACUCUCACAAACCUCCAAAGUUUCAACCUUGAUCAAACUUCAUCUUUUUCAAACCCUAAAAAUGGCAGCCACUCAAUCUAACACUGAUGAAGUUCUUUCUCAAUCCCUGAUGAAAAUCCAAAGCACAAACAAUCAAGUUGAUCCAAAUGUAUCUUCUUAUCCUGAAGGCUUGAAGAUGCUUAUCGUUGCCCUGAAACGAUCACCUCUGUCAACUGCCAUGUUUAGUUCCUUCUCUGUUCCGAUGACAUGGUUAUCCUUGGCAGCUUCAACGGCAUCAUACAAUCAUACAGCGGAUGUGAUAACAUUCAACUUAAUCAACAACAAACGGGUCAAACUGUCCAAGAAGAUGUUUUUUGAAUUCUUGCAGAUUCCAAACAACCCUCCAUUUGUCAAACCUGUUAACUCUCAAAUCAUUCACAUAUUCAACGAGAUGGGCCAUCAACCAGAGCUUGAGAAGAUCAGUGACUUUCGAAAGUCUGGGUUGCCGUGCAUAUGGAAUUUCUUAUUUGGAAUUUUUCUCAGAUGCCUUACAGGAAGAUCAGUUGGACUGGAUAGAGGACGAAUGGAAGUAUAUGCCAUGGUUAUGGGCAUAUACUAUGAUAUAAACGUUGAUUAUGCAACCCAAUUAUGGAAGGAAUUUGUUAAGAGUCUAGAAAACACAAAUUCGAAAAAGGGGAUUUCGUGUGAAAGAUAUUGGAGCUUGAUUUUGGAGAAGGUCUAUGAAAAAGAAGCAAUUCCAGUAAUGGACGAUGUUGAAGUUGCUGAAUUUUCUUUGUAUCAGUUUCCAAAGGCAGUAGAAGAUGAUGAGGCAAUUUUUACUCAUGUGGCUCGCAUUCCAGAUGCGAUGCUUCGCAAGGUAUCUCAAACUCACAAAGUCUUGGUGAGAUAUUUGUGAACAGUUGAUCAAUCAGAGCAGACUGGAGUAUUAUUGGAUGUUACUGCUCCAUCAAAGAAGAAGAAGCUCAUAAAGAAGGAUGCGAAAGGUUCAUCUACACAACAAGUUCAAGAUGAAGAUAUUCAGAUUGAAGAAACUUCAUCUAAGUCAAAGAAAGAAAUAAUACCUUCUACGUCUGGGGUAUUGAAGAAAAUUCGCAAGGCUGAGGUGAGCAUUAAAGGCGUUACUAUUCGUAAUAUUCCAACUCUGAUUUCUCCAGGAAAGAAGAGGCAAAGAGUUGAAGAUGUUGCCAAGAACAUGCAACCUACUCUUAUCAAGAGAAAAAAGAUGGUAAUUCGCAAUGAAUCAUCUAAUGAAGAAAUAGUACUAGAAACUCCACCAGUGACAUCUACGGUAAAUGUUUCAUUACCUAUCAUCCAUACUUCGCAAAUCUCUACCACCUUACCUCUCACCAAACCACUCGAAAUAGUCACUACCAAAUCAGUUUCUGAGGAGGUACCUAUUUCUGAUACGGUUGUCAACGUAUCUGAUACGGGGACACCUAUCCUGAGUGUUGCAACCACAAUCCCAAUCUCCUUACCUAUUUCUUUACUAAUUGUUUCAAUUCCAUUUACAACAUUAUCCACCACAUCAUCAAUUUUUGAUCAUGCUCUUCAAAACCCAUUUACAACACCUUUUCCAUCUCAAUCACCCGAAAAUCCUCAACCUUCGCAACCUUUAUCUGAUAAUGAAGCUGAAGGAGGUGCCUUUGGAGGGAUAAUUGAAGACAUUCAUUUUGAUUCAGAGGAGGAGGAUAUUCCUGAUCAUAUGCUUAUGACAGGAAAACAAUUUAAAAUCCUAAAUCAGAAGUUGAAUGCUAUUAUUCAGUCGCAAGCUGAUUCCGGCAGGAUGUCUUCUAUAUCAGCAAUGGAGGUUGAUGUAAUGAUCAAAGGUGCUGAGAAGCGUAUGAUGGAGAAGGUUGAUCAAUCUGACUAGAAUAAUGAGCUUCGCAUUCAAGCACAAGGACCAAUUUUUCUUCAGUGGUUAAGGAUUUGAAAGCUGUUGCAAAAGAACGUCAUGUUCUUUUUUUAGAGGAUGUGAAGAAAGUUUAGGAGGAUGUCAACUAUAAGCUUUAAGUGUUGAAAUCUGAAAUUACGAAGGAGCUUCAGGAUAUUCAUACUCAAAAUGCUGAAGUUCAAAAGCAGAUUGCGGAGGUUUCUUCAAAAAUACAAAAGUUUGUUGAUGUUCCUAUUCUUGAAGCCCAUCACGAAGAAACAAAGGAGAAGUUUGAUUAGCUGACCAAGUUGGUGACUGAGCUUAAAAUGGUGGUUUCGCAAUAUUCACCUACACAAAUUCUCACUCCUGAGUUCUUGUCUCUAAAGAUUAAUACUUUAGAACAAGCAAUUCAAAAAGCUCUUGCUCCACUCGCCAAUUUUACUUCUUUACUACCAAAGGGUGCCCCACCUGCUUUCACAGGGUGCAAGGGGGAGUGAAAAGUUUAAGUAAAGAAGAGGAUUCGAAGACAGUUGGAAAAGUUAUAUCUACUCAACUUAUAACUACUCUUCCCAUACUUACGAAGCCAAUUUCUUCAACCACAAUAACCACAAAAACGAUUGCCAAAGGAAUCGUUAUUGAAGAAAAAGAAGGAGGUUCAAGUUCAAAACCUCAAACAGAUAUGGUGGGAAAAGGAAAAGGGAUUUUAUAUGAAAAAUCAAAGGAGGAAAAAAAAGUUGAGGUUGAAGCAGAGUUGGAAAGGAUGAGGCAAGUACAAAGCAUCAUGAGGCAGAGGGCAAGUGAUCCUCCCACGAUGAUCAAAUGAGAUCUUGCGAAGCUUUACUCUUACGAAACUAUAGAGUCAAAAUUUGUGGGGAGGGAAAUGUACGAAUUCGAGAAGAAGCCAAAGAGAAGUUAUGAUAUUGCGAAUUCAGACAAUUGUCAGCUGGAUUUUCCAAUAAAUGAAAUGCUAUUCAUCACUGCUCAGUACAAGAUUAGUGAGAAGUUUGAUAAUCCUGAUGAUUAUAUUCACAUGAAAAUCAGAUUUCAUGCUGUUUUGGGGAAGAAUCCAGAUGAAGUUUGGUCUUUAAUGAAGAUCAAAAAGGUGCUGACAAUCAAGAAAGACAUAUUGUUUGAAGACAUGCUUCAAAAUUUUCGUUAUUUUGUUAUCCGAGCAGACAACAAGCAGUAUGACUUCACUGUAGCAGAUUUUCCUCUGAUGAACUGCAAUGAUUUAAUUCAAGUGGCUCUGAUUUUGAAGCAUAUGGAAGAAAAUAAUCUCAAAGGCUUUGAGACUGAAGUGUUCAAGAUAGGCUUCACACAUGUGAAGACAUACAUCGACAAUUACUUCGAUUGUUUGGCUCUUACAGUUGAAGAACUGGCUAAUGUGUUGGGAAGAGAAGUGAAAGUUCUUUGGGAAGAAACUUUAUCUCAAUCAGCAUUAUCGAAAUAUGUUGUUGGGGAAAUAUGCCUGAAACCUUUCGGCAUGGUGUUUUCAGGAAGAGAUACAAAAGGGAAACCUAAGAAGUUCUUGUUUAAAGUCUCAGAGGUGGAAAGAUAUAAUUCUUCGCAAUAUACGCACUUUAUUGUUCGUAUGAACAAUUGCAAGAAGAACAAUGAAGGAGACAAGAAAGAUCUCAAGAAGGUGAUCUCCUGGUAUGGAGAAGUGCGAAAGACAAUCCACUCAGCUGUUCAAAAGCUUAUGGGAUGAAUAGCUUCGACUGUUUACAAAGGGGGAGAAUGUAGAUGUAAAAUUGUAAAAGUCGAAUAUAGUGUUUUGUAUAGUUUCGCAUUUUAUGUUAUUUUACUAAGUCAUCUUUAUGCGAAGUGAAAUGUCUAGACUUAGUAUAUUUUUUGUACACUCAUGUUCCCUAUAAAUAGGGACUGAGGUUAGAAGUAGANGCACCUCAGGGAUCUGCCCCUGCCGCCAUCAGAGCUACCGAGAGUCGGCCAGUGAAGGCCGAGGCGCCGAGGGCACGAGGGAGAGCUUUUCAGUUGACCGCGGAGGAGGUCCGCGCAGCGCCCGAUGUCGUGGUUGGUAUGUAUUCUUUCGUGUAUUUAUUUUGAUGUUGAGAUAUUAUGCUUAUAUUAUGUUAUGCGUAGGUACUUUUCUUGUGAAUUCUGUACCUGCCUUGGUGUUAUUUGACUCGGGUGCGAGUCGGUCUUUUGUAUCUUUGGCUUUUAGUCAGCAUAUCAGUGUUAGUCAUGAGGCGUUGAGUUGGCCUCUGAGAGUUUCCAUAGCUGACGAGAGGGCGAUAUAUGCCACGGAGAUUCUCCGAGGGUGCGUAGUCGAGAUUUUUGGUGUUGAGUUCCCGAUUGAUCUGGUUCCUAUUGUGAUGGGUGAUAUUUGUGUUAUUAUGGGCAUGGAUUGGUUG
rnacentral:lncRNA from 1 species